GAUGAGGGGCCCCCGCAAUGGGGAGCUGUGAACCUGGUCAGGGGCGAAAGUCAGCAGCCAUAAGCAGUGACCCCCAUGUGUGGUGGGCCUCUCAUCCAA
rnacentral:SRP_RNA from 1 species